ensembl:lncRNA
CUCUUGCUUGUAUGUUUUUGGCUUUUUGUUUGUUUGUUUGUUUGUUUGUUUUUUGAGAUUUGCAAUUUCAAACAACUGAAUCAGAAUCAGAGAAUAUCCCAAGUUGGAGGGACCCACAAGGAUCACUGAGUGCAGCCCCCGGCUCCCCACAGCACCACCCAAACUCAAAUGCAAUGUUUGAGGGCGGUGUCCAAACACUCCCUGAACUCCGACACUCGGGGCUGUGCCCACUGCCCUGGGCAGGCUGUUGCGUGCCCACCGCCCCCUGGUGCAGAACCACUCCCUGACCCCCAGCUGCCCCUCCCCUGACACAGCUCCAUGCCGUUCCCUCGGGCCCUGUCGCUGUCACACAGAGCAGAGCUCAGUGCUGUCCCUCCGCUCCCUGUGAGGAGCUGCAGCCGCCAUGAGGCCUCCCCUCAGCUCCUCUGCCCUGGGCUCAGCACACCCAGGCACCUCAGCUGUUCCUCCCACAUCUUGUCCUCCAGACCCUUCACCAUCUCCUUUGGAUGCUUUCUAAUAGUUUUAUGUCCUUAUAUUGCUGGGCCAAACUGCACCCAGUGCUGGAGCUGAGGCCGCACAGAGCAGAGCAGACAACCCCUCCCUCUCCCACUGGCAGUGCUGGGCCUGGUGCACCCAGGGCACGGUUGGCCCUUUGGCUGCCAGGGCACACUGCUGGCUCACAUUCACCUUGCCAUCAACCAGAGCCCCCAUUCCUCAGGGCUGCCUUCCAGCUUCUUAUCCUCCAGUCCAUGCAUGUAAUCUGAGGCUGCCCUGUCCAGGUGCACAAUCUGGCUCUUGCUCUUGCUUAAUUUAAGAGGUUGGUGGCUGCUCUGCCAUCCUAUUUGCCCAGGUCUCUCUGCCAAGCCUCUCUCUGCAAGAGAACUGAGAUGGAGCUUGCUCUCAAAAAGCGCUACAGAAAGAACAGAACAUAGGAAGGGACCAAUCAUUUUAGAAGAUUCAACACAUGUAUGAAUAAGCAAACGCCAUAUUUCAUAUCAACCUGCUUUUCUGCUCUUGUCCAUGAGUGUUGUAAAUACUUCUAGAAUUUUCAUCCCUUGUUAUGUUGCACAAAAUUUAAUCAAGGGCACACCAGGGAGGGCAGAAUUGCUGUGUCCUUUAAACAGAAAGGGCACUUGAAGCAUAUGGCUUACAGUAAGGCCUGCACCCAUCCCACCUAAUAUAGGCAUCUAAGAGAGGGGUGUGACUUAGAAGCUGGCUUGUCUUUGCUUCCCUCUAGAGUCGAUGGAUAGACCUGGCACCUCAAACGGUGAUCCAGCAGACAGACACCACAAAUCCACGCAACUAAACCCCAUAGAAACAAUAAACAAAUAAAUAAAUAAAAGAUUCGGAUCUGGGGGAGUGUAUGAUAUAUCAUUUUUUAAAUAUCUCUGUAACUGUGAUGCUUAACUCAAAUUGUCAACUGUGAAGUAAAAAUGCUUACUCUUACUUAUCUAGUUAAAAAGUGCACAAGAUGCCCCACAGGUGCAAUGUUCCUGUGAACACCCGUUAAGGAGUGAGAUAAAUAAUCCUUGGACAGAACUAUUGUGGAUGGGCUCCCAAAACUUGCAAGUAAACCCGGGAAGUAGCUCAGGAGUGCAGAAAGGUCACAGGCAACAAGCUGUAAUUCUUGCUUGCAGCAGACCAACUUCUGCUCUCCUGAAUUACACUUUUGAUUUAACUAUGUUUAUAAUAAGCAAACAGCAAAUGCUAAGGGCAGAGUGGGAAUGUGUGCAACCUGCUUGUUCCUGCCAGAGGCCGCAGCAUCCCACUGACACCCUGCAGAUUCCUUUGCUGCCUGGGAUUCCUCAUCCCUUACUGACUUGACACUUCCCUUGCUGUUUCUGGGAUCACAGUUCGGCAUCCUUUUGCAUUUGAGGUUUUUUCCAUGUUCUGUGCUGGAACUGCUGUAAGAACAGCUGCAAGAAUACAGCCUACUGCUUCCGUCAGCGAGAGGAGGGGCAGCUCAUCAGGAGGCAAACACCACACCAAUCAAGUUAGGAAAUCUUUUCUUAGGAGAGCCAUGCCUCUGUUGCACACUUGGCCCACUAGUACUGCUGAGGGUGAUGCCACAGGAGAGGAAAUCAUAGCCUGGCCACUGCCCAACGCGGCCAGUGUGGGCUCUCAUGCAGUUCCACCUGCACAGCUGCAGAGGUGUGAGCUCAGCACUUCCCCAGGGCUGCUCUCAAGGCAUCCCAGGGCUUUGUGCCUCAGCCUGCUUACACGUUCAGGCUUUCUUCCUACAGGAGCCACAGGCCUGUGGGGAAGGGGUGCUUCUGAGACUCUCUGGUGCCAGUUUUGAUUCCUCUGUGCCGUGGCUGGUUUGUAAUCGUCACUGCCUGGGCAAAAGUGAACACUGCUGCCCUUGGCAGAGAUGGGAAUUGGCAGAUUGGAAAUCUCUUAUUUGCCAGAGUUGUUCCUUCAUAUCUCAUGUUUUCCAGAGCAGCAAAUACAGAUGCAAAUCUCCACGUGGCAAGCAGUGCUGCAUCCUUGUCUUAUUGUCACAGACCCAUCCAUUUUUAUCCCAUGCAUGUGAACCUUCCCCAUCGCAGACUUUUGCAGUGAAGCCACAAGCUUGCACCUUUCCUGUAUCUUUCUCCUGUAUCUCGGCAAGUCAGAGACAAAAUUGGCUGUUCCUUUGAUUUGCUGAUCAGCAGCAUCUGAUGUGUCAGGCAAUAGUUCGAACUGCUCAGCAGGGAUCCUCAUAUCCUGCAUUUCAAGGCUCCACGUCCUGCAGUGCCAGACCUCCCUGCCUAUCUCAGCACAACUCUGAAACACUGUUAGUAUAGAAGUGAACCUUGACUUGGGCAGUUUCUUUUCUGAUAUUUGCCCUCUUGUUAAGACAAGCAUGUAUGCUACCAGAAGCAGUUAUGAAAAAAGGAAUACAGCAGAUGGGAAAAAGGGCAACAGGAAUUCAAAGAGGAAGUGGUCAGUAUUUGCUCAUAACUUUUGCGUAACAGCUCUUCUCUUGGUUCCGUGAGUAGGGAAAACCUAUUACAGCAGCAAGGAAAGGGAAACAUUUCUUUCUGUUUCUGAGCAUGAGAACCAGACUCCUCACCGCUGAAAGCUGCCCAGCACGUUUAAUUCAGCGGUGUGCUCAGGCUGCAAUGGUUCAUUGCACCACGAGUAAAAUGCUGUGCAUGUAAUUACACAUUGCAAUCUGCUGAAGGGCCCUGUGUUAGCCAAGUCCCAUUUAGCUCCCACUUUCUACAAGACUUUGUUUUCUUUGCAAAAGGGUAAAUUCCACUGGUAUUUCAUUUCCUAUUUUAAUUUUUAUUUUUGCAAAUUAGAAGUUUGGUGUUUGGAGGAUGUGAGUGGCUUCUGAAGAAUAUUUUGAUGAUGAGCAUGACCGCCAGGUGGGUAGAAGGGAGACGCCCUCCAGUGCCAGUGGUGGUGCCAUGCUCUGUGCCACACCAAGGAAGGGAUCAGAGGGCUGAGACCCACCAUAAACUGCCUCCAGCACAGUGACAGAACUGCCUGCCGCUGCCGGCUGGUUUUGAAGGCUCUUGCAGCUCUGAGUGUAGCCAUGCUGGAGCCAUUUGUUAUGGAGCUACGGCCUGUUCAGGAGAAAUGAGCUUAUGCAAAUGUCAGCUAAUGAUAAAUAAGUGUCUUUAAUUUAUUUAUUAACUUUGGAAUUAGUGGAAAAGAGCUUCAAGGGAUAUUGGCAACUACCAAAUUUCAAAACUGUUUAUUAGUGUUUUACCUGUACAGUUGAAAGCACUGUCUUUGAAGAAGCAACAGUUGAAAGGAAGGAUAAUUUGGCUUUUUUCUUUUUACAGUCUCUUCUCUGCAAAUAUAAUCUUCCCACUUGCUUAUUUUCUACUUCAUCUUUCCUUUUUUCUUUUCUACUGCUGUGGGAUAAAACUAUGAUUGCAAGUACAGAACACAUCUAGGGGGACCUGAGAACAUAGAGACCACCGAAACAAUUUCAUAUUGCAAGCUCAAGUCCUCCUUUAGCUCUCACUUACAAAUGUUUUACAGCUACAAACCUGCUAGUCUCCAUACUGUAAUAAUCAUUCAACUUCAUGAAUAAUUUUGCCUAUCAACCACAAGAUAAAAUCUAGCAAUAUGUUACUUCUUUGUGUGAGAUGUGGUAAUCUUUCCUAUAGAUCUGGAAAGGGGGAGAAACUUCACAAAUUCUGAUCUGAAAAUUGCUUUUCCUUCCUCUCUGUAAAGAUCAAGGACACAAAGGCUGCAGUCCAACCUCCAGCACUGAGAGGGCCUAGUUUUUCCCAAGCUUUUGAUGCUGGGAAACCCUUACAGAGACGGAGCCUCUGCCUUUGCAAUCACUUUCCACUCCCAUGACGUUCUUUCAGGUUCAUCCUUUCAGUGAAAAAAGCCUUUCUGGGCCCUUGGUCCUAGAGAAUGUCUGAAGGUGAGUGAACCUUUAUGUCUCAUUUAGAGACCUUUCUACAUCUGGUGGUGGGAAAUGUGGAAAGAGCUGCUACCUUCACCGCUGUCAUCAAAAGACAGUCACACCAGACUGGGCAUCUAACACUGACCUUUGGCAUGUGGUAGAGGACAAGAGCAAAAUUUCAGAGGAAGGACUUGCUGCGGUGCAGGCCAGAAUGGCUUGGUUUUGUUUAUGGUGGCAGAGAGGACUCAGUCUCACUCUCAGGAAGGCAGAACCACCUCAAUGAGUUUCUUUCAAGAAGAAAUCUCUAUGUGCCUGGAGCAAAACAUAGGCAAGUUUGUGAUGCCUCAGACCAAGAGAAGUAUGGAAUAAAGCCUUGUUACAUGUCUUGAGCUUAUGGGCACCUGAGCAUCACUGGUAUCUAAACUUCUACAGAAACAUUUGUCCAGAGAUGCAGCCAUCCUGCUGAGCUGAGAACCUCCAUGUCUUCUUCUCAUCUAAGACAGCAGAAUACAUGAUCACUUCCAUUUCAAAACACACCAGGGAGUAUCUUCUGCUGUUUGUGCAACAGCGUAGGAGGUAGAGCUCAUGCUCUGCAAAAGAGAGACCACUUUAAUUCCCUUCUCAGCUGAAAGGAUUUAAAUCAGUUGUUCCAAGGACAGCGAGUCAGUAAGCUACGAAAUGAUGUGGGUAGGGAAGAAAGUCUGCCUCUCUCUUUGAAGCUAGGUCACUGCAAGUCCAAGAGUGAGAUGGUGGAAGGAGAGGAAAUGUAAUAGUCAGAGUCUGCAGCCCACAAGUUGGGCACUUAUCUGGGAGUGUAAUCCCAAAGCAAAAGAUGUAUGGAAACCAGUCCCAUGCAAGUAUAUAAGGUAUGUUCCUGUGGCCUUAGGAGAUCAGAUGUGGGUUUUUUCUACCUUGUAGAAAGGAAGCUCUUUGUUGAAAGAAAAUUCUAAAAGAUUAACAAUAUAUGAAGAUUUUAAGAACUCUUCAGAAGACAGAAUGUAAGGUCUAACCCAGCUUUUAAUGCAGAGUUCACAAACUUCUGAUCUACAGGUCCAGUUUUUAAGACGAUGUUCCCCUUCUGUUCCUUACAAGCUCUGUAUCCGCAGUGCUGCAGCAUGUUGAGUCCUCACAGCCCAUGGCAUAGCAGUUUCAAGAACUGUUAGUCCAAAUUUUCAGGUUACUGAAAGGCAAGGCUGAUGUAAAAUGAGCAGAUUUUAGGUCACUUGGGUUUUCAUUUGCAACUCUCAAAUCUUGGAAGUAAAAUGCCUGAGAACUUGUUUCCAAAAAGACUGCAAUUAAAGAGGAAAAGUCAAACUGGCUGAUUAUGGGGAAAAUGUUUAUACUUCCCUUGUGGAUCACUGUUGCAUCUCCAGAAUUUGGAUGGUGUAUUUCUUAUAAAAACUGCACGUACUUUGUCACUGAGACAUUCUCUCCUUGCCUGUACCUUUAUGGCCACAGCACUACUGAGCUGCUCCAGUACUUCUCAGUUGUGUCCUACUGGUGAGCAGGGACAGGAGAACAGGAGGGCACCAAGAGCUCUCAUCUCUUUGAUCUCUGCCUGGCUUCAUACAGCUAUGAGCUCUGUCAGACCUUACCCUUUCUGGGAGCCUCAGGGCACUUCUGGAAGCCUUCACAAUCUUCUCCUCGAACUUCUGCAGUCAGCUAUGCUUUAUUCACUUUUAAAAUGACAAAGGGGAAAUAAGUUGUCCUUUUCAAGCCUUCUCCUGCCUGUUGCUUCUGAGAGGCUCCAAAUUUCCACUGUUCCUCAUGGGCCGAGAAUCAGGCAACUCUUUGAACAUGCAGGAUACUCUCCAUGAGGCUGUAUAAUACAACACUCAUCAGUCACGCUGCUGGAAGCAGCAGGUCUGCCUUUAAAAUACAGGCUUCUAAAUUGUGAGCAAUACAGGUAAUGUAGUAAUAAUACUGAGAGCUUGUUAUUUGCUCUAAAUUCUCAAUCACAGCUGCCAUAUGUCUUGAAAAAUUCAUUCUAGCUGAGUCUGGGUUAUGUGAUAAAGGACACAUCUGGAGCUGAGUCAGAGGCUCAUUUACUCUUUAACUGUGGCAGAGGGAGCCCCAUAAUGAAAGCGGUGACUGUGACUGCUCCCCUAGAGAAGUGCCAAUGUUAUUGUACUCACUGUAAAUUCAUGGGAAGGAAACUUCACAGGCUUUUUUUUCUUUUCUUUUGAGAAGUUCAGGCACAUUUGAACCAAGACAUUCCUGCUUCUCUCAGCUGCCAGGUCCUAAGCAGUGUUUUUGUUGUACUUGAUAUCAAAU